ACGGAGGGUGCAAGCGUUAUUCGGAUUUAUUGGGCGUAAAGGGCGCGUAGGCGGUCUUGUAAGUCAGAUGUGAAAGCCCGGGGCUCAACCCCGGAAGGGCAUUUGAUACUGCGAGACUUGAGUAUGGGAGGGGGAAGUGGAAUUCCUGGUGUAGAGGUGAAAUUCGUAGAUAUCAGGAGGAACACCAGUGGCGAAGGCGACUUCCUGGACCAAUACUGACGCUGAUGCGCGAAGGCGUGGGGAGCAAACAGGAUUAGAUACCCUGGUAGUCCACGCAGUAAACGGUGAGAACUAGGUGUAGCGGGUAUUGACCCCUGCUGUGCCGCAGUUAACGCAUUAAGUUCUCCGCCUGGGGAGUACGAUCGCAAGAUUA
rnacentral:rRNA from 1 species